rnacentral:lncRNA from 1 species
GGACCAGAGUAGAUUAAAAUAUAAGGCUGCUUUAAUGGUAAAAAGUUUCCCAGUAUUCAAAUUCAGUGAAAAAUGCCCUUAAGCUUUAAAAUAUAGAGAUAUAAUUCAGUGAUUUUUGGGGAAAACCUUCAAACAGCAAUCUAAAAAGAAAAGUUUGGAAAGAACCUAUAGUCAGAGCCUGGUUGUCCCAGGAGGUAAGGUUAUAUGGGUAUGGUGGCUUCUUGUAUGGUAUAACUAAAGGACAUGAAAGUCCUUCUGACCUUACACCCAACAGGCCAGGAGAAUUUUCCCUUGUGUAGUGACACUUGGUUGGCAUUCAUGCCAAAGGGCUUUUGUGAAAUGGUUGCCUGAGCAGAGUGAGGUGGCACUAUAGUAGCACAUCAACACAGAUUCCCCAUGUGCUCCCUGCACUGUCAGUCCCUAACAGGCAGGCAUAAAGCCUCUGCUGGAGCCACUGCAGGGAUGGGAGCUCAAGACUACUCAUGCCUACCCUCACCUGAGUAGCCCACUGUGGUUUGGGACAGCCUUGUUGUUAGAAAAAUCUUUGUUUUAUUGAGACCAAAACUUUCUCUAUAAACAUCACCUUUGGCUUAAAAUUUGGUCCCACUUCAUAGGGUUGUGUCAAGGAUCAAAUAGGGUAAUGCAUGUGAAUUCUAGAAUAAUAUACGAGUAAAAAAUCCUACACAAACUCAACUUUAGACUGGCUGGUGUCUUAUUGUGAAGUCCCCUGCCCCCAUCCCUAUGAUACCCACAUAACAUCCCCUUAUUCCCAGCUCUGGACACUUGCCUCUGCCAUUUCCACUGCUUAGAAGACCUAGGCCCAGCCAGGCACAGUGGCUCAUGCCUGUAGUCCCAGCACUUUGGGAGACCAAGGUGGGCGGAGCACCUCAGGUCAAGGAAUUCAAGACCAGCCUGGCCACCUGGUGAAACCCCAUCUCUACAAAAAUACAAAACUUAGCCAGGCAUGAUGGUUAAUCAUGUAAUCCCAGCUACUUGGGAGAUCAGUUAUGUGAACCAAUAAAUACCCUUUUUUGCUUAAGUUACUUUGAGUUGGGUUUCUAUUACUUGAAAUUGAAUCCACACUAAUAUAUCUACCAACAUUGAGACUUGACAGAUCCAAGUAUUUAUUAAGCUAGAGGUCAUGGUCACUGAAAUUACUUUGCAAAGUGGAAGACAAAAUGAAACAGGAACUGAGAGAAUAUUUAAGAUCCCGCAGAAGCAUAUAAUUUUCUUUUCAACUUGCUGAGUACUCCUUUAUUGUAGGUUCUUCUCCCCAUCAUGUAAAUAUAGGUAUAGUCGACAUCCAUUGCUUUGGCUUGCCAAAAAUCACUUCCCCUUUACUUUAAUCAUAGAUCCCCACUUAUCCUUUAGAAAGCUGCUCCUUCCCAUUCCGUGUGGUGGUAGUGGAAGUGUAGAUGACAGUACUCCUGCCUCAUGCCCCCUGGCUGAGGUUUGAGCAAUGCAAGCUCGUUCUGUCCCACCAGGACUUUGAUUCUUAAGAAAGGUGACCACAAAGUGAUCAGAGUUGAGUCAUUCUGAUCGUAGCGUUCUAAAGAAACCAUGUAAAAGUUUAUGAAAGGAGAUCUCCAAAGUAUGCUGGCUCCUAUUCUCCAAGCCUGGUUGUCCAAGUUUUCCUUUGAUUGUAUAA